rnacentral:rRNA from 1 species
GACGAACGCUGGCGGCGUGCUUAACACAUGCAAGUCGAACGAAGUGGCGAACGGGUGAGUAACGCGUAAUCAACCUGCCCUUCAGAGGGGGACAACAGUUGGAAACGACUGCUAAUACCGCAUACUGAAGGAGGGGAUUGCGUUUGAUUAGCUAGUUGGAGGGGUAACGGCCCACCAAGGCGAUGAUCAGUAGCCGGGCCGAGAGGAUGAACGGGCAACAUGGGACUUGGACAAGGGCCAGACCUCUACGGGAGGCAGCAGGGGGGAAUCUUCCGCAAUGGAGGAAAGUCUGACGGAGCAACGCCGCGUGAGUGAUGACGGCCUUCGGGUUGGAAAGCUCUGUUAAGCGGGACGCGGUACCGGAAUAGAAAGCCACGGCUAACUACGUGCCAGCAGCCGCGGUAAUUC